UGUGUAUUAUAGUAUAGCUAUUGGUCACAUUUCCAGGAAGCUUCAAGGACCAACAACACAUCUCCAUGGCAAGCUCAGACUCCGUUAACGGAGAAACGCCGCCGACCCGUGGGAGGCGAGACCGACGUCUUCACUUCACGUCGUGUCGUCGGGUGCACUUUCUCCAUCACUGCCUAAAGUGGACCCUGAACCUUUGGACCUGAUGUGAACUAGAAUGAAGUUGGCUGGACCUCAAGUACUCUGUGGAAGCUUCAAGGACCAACAACACAUCUCGGUAUGACAAGUGGAGACUCGACCAUACAGACCCGUCCGGUCUCGCAUACGACGCCGUUUAUGGCAAACGGAGAAACGCUCCUGGGAGGCACUUUCUCCAUCACUGCCUAAAGUGGACCUGAUGUGAACUAGAAUGAAGUUGGCUGGACAUAAAGUUUACUGGACCUCAAGUACUCUGUGGUAUUGUAUUUAAUAUUGUUGUGGUACUUUGAAUGUUAGGAAAGUUGUACAGGCAUUCCCCUGUUUAUAAGAGUGCUGUGUCUUAUAAAAACCUAUGGUAAAUCGAAUCAAUAUUCCUAUAGACUCACAUUAUAAAAGCCAAGAUAGUUUUCUACAAUGAAAACAGUUCCCCCCCAAUUAUGUACGGUCCCCUAAAAAGUAUCGAUUGAAUUUUCUAGCGGUAAAAUUUGAAACUCUAGAUGAAAUACUUUGCUGUGAUCCCCAGUGCAUCAGCAUAAGUUGAUACAGGUACAUCCGGUCACUAUAUGAGCAAUAGCCAUAGACGGCGGGUAGCGACGGUGUCGUCCUCGUGUGACAUACAACCGUACUGUAUAUGCUUUACUAUAACAAGAAAUUCAUUAAGCUAUAUUAAUGUAUGUAUCGUGCCGGUUAGAAGCGAGGCCCCAACCGAAGAUUACAAUAAUAUCGGAAUAUACAUUAAACGGAAGAGUUUUGGAACGUCGCGAGCGAGACUGAGACGGACCUCGGGGCAUACGUUUCGCCACCGCGUCGUAGUGACGGUUUCAUUCGUACCGAGAUGCACAAUGUAGUCGUCGACGACACGUCUGAUUUUUGAGGAGUGACCGAGCAAAUAGUAGUUAUUAGAGUGAACGGCUACAGCAAUAUACAAUAUAUCGGUCUAAAUGGGAUCUGUCAAAUAUUAUUGAUACGUAAAUGGUAUCGGUUUAACGUCAAAAUAAGAUUUUAAUCGGCGCGUCGCCCGUCGUUUAGCGGCGGGUAACCCAUCGCGAUGCCCGAGGGUUCGCCCGCCCCAUUCUGCGGAGUUAUUCGAGCGUUGCGUGUACCCUCGUCGUAAAGGCUAAUAAUAGCACCUCUCGCCCCGUUGUGUCUUUCUGAUAAUUCCUCGGUUCAUAUG